AACAGAGGCACUGCUUCUCUCAGCAGCUGCUAAACCAAAUGGAACACAGCUGAGGCCACAGCAAGCCCAAAUGAGCCUGGAGACCCUGUGAUAACAGGACAGUGCAGAGUCUGCAACCUGCUAUUAGCCAUGGUAAAAUCACAUUUACUGGGCUACACUGCGAUCCCUUGAUCAAAUUUCACUUGAGUGAGAAUUGGUCAGUGCACAACACAACUGUGGCAAGUUCCUUGUAGUGAGAUGGCCAUGUCAGCACUUCUGCAGAACCUAAAUGGAAUUUCCAGAAAUGCUUGGAACGUGUUUGGCUACAUUUUCCCGCCCUUCCCUGCCCUGCCAAGGACAGUGCCUGAGAACUACACUCCGUCUUUCAAGAUUGAUACGGAUUGACACACUUCAGGAAAACAAUAAAGCUCCUGGCCUUUGCGCAGUCCUCGCUUUAUCUGUCCCUCUCAACUCCAAACAUCAUAUGUGAGCUUCAAACAUGGAGAAUUUUCCUACUUGUAAUGAUGGACUGCUUCCAUCCUGUCUCACCAGCGAGGCUGAAAAUCCAGAGGGUCCAAUGAGCAUCUGAUAUGAACUGUACAUCAUAUGCUGUUGCUCAAAUAGUUGACAAGCAGCUAGCAGUUCACUCUACCUUUUAAAUUAUUUUAUUAUUUUUAUUUAUUAUUAUUUUUGUAGCAUAGGUCAAUAGAAGAUUGGCUUCACUCUCUUCAUUCGGUUUUCACCUACUCUCACCACUCACAUUAAUCAUAUUAGGGUUAAUUGUAGUGGAGAAUUAAAAAUGCAGAAAAAGAAAACCCAGAAAGGAGACAAAGAUGUGUUCAUUUUUCAUGAAAGUAAAAAUGUAAUUUUAACUUUCAUGACAUUUGCUUCAGGAAUUUUGCCAAUAUUUCAUAUGAAAAGUUUGCAUUUUAAAAUUUAAAUUGAAUAAAAUAUUUUAUUUAAAACCACUCUUAGAGCGUGGCACAAAGCUCCAUAUUAAAGUGUUUAAUUUUGAUUUUCAUUUACUGCUAGUCACUUUUUUUUUUUUUUUUAACUGAAGUCUUUUGCUAAAGGGACUGAGUUUCAUGUAGCCUUUACAAUGUCUUAUUGUGUGGUUGUGAUGGGUUUGAUGUAUAGAGCCUACUUGUCUGAAGGAGUUCUUAACUGCCACACUAACAGGACAUAGUAUGACAAUUGCACUUCAGCCUAGGAAAUUACUGCAAAGAAACUGGCAAAGAAAAUAAUAUAAAAAGUAAGAAUUACAAGAAAAAGAAUGCUUUAUAAAUAACAGGAUCUCAUCUUCCAUUUAUAGAAGAGAGUAUGAUAUAAGAAGAAAAAUAUAUUCCUAGUAGUUUUAGGAUUUAAAUUUAAAUCCCUUCAGUGUUUACCUUCUUUCUAUAUUACAAAAUUUUCCUGGAUUUUUUUUCAAUUCCAUCACAUUCUUUCGAUAACAACAGACAAUAAUGAGGAAUACCAAUAGUCAUCCAGCCUCUUAUGAUAUUCAGUGCAUCUCAAUUCACUAUCAGCAUCGUAAAUUAAAUAUAACUGCAAUUUUCAAUGACACAUGGGUAUAAAUAGAAAGAGAGUGGGAUUUUUUGACAAUAUACUGUAAUCUGCUUUUUUAAAUUAUAUUUUUAAAUCAUCCAUAACAUGCAGUUAAGAACUGACAUAUAUAUAAAUUUAGACUUACUGGUUUCAUUCAUGACAAUAAAGAUAUUAAGAAAAUGAAAGCUACCUCCACAGAUACCACAACAUCUGUAGAUAUUAGUCUUAAGCAAAAGGCACAGUUUGUUGUUGUUGUUGUUGUUGUUUGUUUGUUUGUUUGUUUUUCUCAUGGAGGAGCUACCUCCAUGAAAAAAAAAAAAGUGCUAAAUUAAUGCACACAUCUACUGAAUUACUGAAAUCUAUAUUAGUAUGUAAAAGCAUUUAUAGCCAUGUGUAUGUUUAAAUGACUGUUAACAAACACAGCUACCAAUUUUAUAUUUGAAAUAAAUGCAUGUACAAAUAUGAUUAUGCUACCAGUAGCUAUUUCCAAAAAGUUGGACCUUACUACCAAACAGUAAGCAGAUUGUAAACUGUUUCCUAUUUAGAAUGUGCUACCAUUAAACUAAUAUAUAGGUGCUUAAUGCAUAAGUGUUAAUUUUAAAUCACAAAAAAUUAAAGGCUCGUCUUAUGUUGGUGCAAUAUCAGCAAUAAAUAUCCAGAGCCCAGAGCUGAAUUUACUGGUAUGUUUUAGAACUAUACGAACCAUUAUUUGCUUUAUUUUGAAGAGAGGGAAGAUAAAGCAUAUGAAAUGCUAUAAUUCCCUUUAUGACUUUUUUUGUGCUAAUAAACAGAUUCAGUUUGAUUGACACAAAUUGAUUUCUUCUGCUUGCAUUUUUAGUAAAUUAAUUUCAUAAAAUCCAGACUUUCAUUCAUCAUCAAGAAGGACUCUAGCCAUACCACCCAAGCUGCAGAAAGUAAAGAUAAGAGUAAAGAUAAAAACUUGGAGAUGGAAGAUCAGUCUGCUGUAAGUGAAGAUCAGAUUUAAGCCCAUCUGAAGAAGCUGAAGAUUCACAAUUCUGUAGGACCCAAUGAGAUCAGUCCCUG
ensembl:lncRNA